rnacentral:rRNA from 1 species
GGGGAAUUUUGGACAAUGGGCGCAAGCCUGAUCCAGCCAUGCCGCGUGCAGGAUGAAGGCCUUCGGGUUGUAAACUGCUUUUGUACGGAACGAAAAGGUGCCUUCUAAUAAAGGGCGCUCAUGACGGUACCGUAAGAAUAAGCACCGGCUAACUACGUGCCAGCAGCCGCGGUAAUACGUAGGGUGCGAGCGUUAAUCGGAAUUACUGGGCGUAAAGCGUGCGCAGGCGGUUUUGUAAGACAGAGGUGAAAUCCCCGGGCUCAACCUGGGAACGGCCUUUGUGACUGCAAGGCUGGAGUGCGGCAGAGGGGGAUGGAAUUCCGCGUGUAGCAGUGAAAUGCGUAGAUAUGCGGAGGAACACCGAUGGCGAAGGCAAUCCCCUGGGCCUGCACUGACGCUCAUGCACGAAAGCGUGGGGAGCAAACA